rfam:Eubacterium biforme DSM 3989 Scfld5 genomic scaffold, whole genome shotgun sequence.
AUAAUGAUACUUCUAGCGACAGGCCCACGCGUAAGAUGGGUUGGUGCGAUGCCAAUGA